rnacentral:rRNA from 1 species
UGAUUCCACAGCUACACCUGCAAGUCGAGCGGUAGAGAGAAGCUUGCUUCUCUUGAGAGCGGCGGACGGGUGAGUAAUGCCUAGGAAUCUGCCUGGUAGUGGGGGAUAACGUUCGGAAACGGACGCUAAUACCGCAUACGUCCUACGGGAGAAAGCAGGGGACCUUCGGGCCUUGCGCUAUCAGAUGAGCCUAGGUCGGAUUAGCUAGUUGGUGAGGUAAUGGCUCACCAAGGCGACGAUCCGUAACUGGUCUGAGAGGAUGAUCAGUCACACUGGAACUGAGACACGGUCCAGACUCCUACGGGAGGCAGCAGUGGGGAAUAUUGGACAAUGGGCGAAAGCCUGAUCCAGCCAUGCCGCGUGUGUGAAGAAGGUCUUCGGAUUGUAAAGCACUUUAAGUUGGGAGGAAGGGUACUUACCUAAUACGUGAGUAUUUUGACGUUACCGACAGAAUAAGCACCGGCUAACUCUGUGCCAGCAGCCGCGGUAAUACAGAGGGUGCAAGCGUUAAUCGGAAUUACUGGGCGUAAAGCGCGCGUAGGUGGUUCGUUAAGUUGGAUGUGAAAUCCCCGGGCUCAACCUGGGAACUGCAUCCAAAACUGGCGAGCUAUAUUAUGGUUCAGGGGUGGUGGAAUUUCCUGUGUAGCGCUGAAAUGCGUAGAUCUAUGAAGGAACACCAGUGUCGAAGGCGACCACCUGGACUGAUACUGACAUUGAUGUGCGAAAUUAUUGGGAGCAAACUCGAUUAGU